UACGAGGGGGGCAAGCGUUUGUUCGGAAUUAUUGGGCGUAAAGGGUGCGUAGGCGGUUUGGUAAGUCUGAUGUGAAAUCUAUGGGCUCAACUCAUAGUCUGCAUCGGAAACUGCCGGGCUUGAGUGUGGGAGAGGUGAGUGGAAUUCCUGGUGUAGCGGUGAAAUGCGUAGAUAUCAGGAGGAACACCUGUGGCGAAAGCGGCUCACUGGACCAUAACUGACGCUGAUGCACGAAAGCUAGGGGAGCAAACAGG
rnacentral:rRNA from 1 species